rnacentral:rRNA from 1 species
UUAAAUUGAAGAGUUUGAUCAUGGCUCAGAUUGAACGCUGGCGGCAGGCCUAACACAUGCAAGUCGAACGGUAACAGGAAGCAGCUUGCUGCUUUGCUGACGAGUGGCGGACGGGUGAGUAAUGUCUGGGCAA